CCCGAGGCGGAGAAGGCCCCACGUUGGCCAAAAUGUGAACGAAAUGAAAUUAAAAAGGGAGGGAAAUUUAAGUGCAACAAGCAUAAUUAAGCAUAGACGGUGAUGGAACAGCAACGCAAUCAGCGGCAGGAGAAAGGAACGGACACAAAAAUGACAAAAGCACAUCACUGAUUGCCCCGAGAUAUGAAGCAAGGUCGCUGGGUCGAAUGCCUGAGGAGAAACCUGUUCUACUCCAAAUUUUGGAUUUGGAGACUUUGGUCAUUACCUGUCCCCUGCACAGGUUGAGGAUGAGGCAUCCCGGAAGCCAGCAGAGAUCCAGUCGACUCGCUCGCUAAUAAUUAACCAAACCCCCACCUGCGUUCGUCAGGGAAGAGGCCAGGCCUGCCACCUUCUUCUUCUUCUCCUCCUCCUUCUUCUUCGUCAUUGUCUUCUUCUUCUGAGAAGCCAGCCCUUUCGAAGUCUGGGAGAGCCUGGAAACCCAAGAAGGAGAAGAGAGCAAAGUUGAGAUGAGGUAAGACGAUAACGUUUUUUUUUUUUCCUUGGCCCCGGCUUCUGAUAAGCGUUUCGUUUUUUUUUCAAGUUUGAAGAAUCUUCAGGGGGUCCGAAGAAGAAGAAUUGGGAAGGGACUGCAGACUUCUAGGG